rnacentral:rRNA from 1 species
GACGAACGCUGGCGGCGUGCCUAAUACAUGCAAGUAGAACGCUGAAGGAGGAGCUUGCUUCUCCGGAUGAGUUGCGAACGGGUGAGUAGCGCGUAGGUAACCUGCCUGGUAGCGGGGGAUAACUAUUGGAAACGAUAGCUAAUACCGCAUAACAGUAGAUGUUGCAUGACAUUUGCUUAAAAGGUGCAAUUGCAUCACUACCAGAUGGACCUGCGUUGUAUUAGCUAGUUGGUGAGGUAACGGCUCACCAAGGCGACGAUACAUAGCCGACCUGAGAGGGUGAUCGGCCACACUGGGACUGAGACACGGCCCAGACUCCUACGGGAGGCAGCAGUAGGGAAUCUUCGGCAAUGGACGGAAGUCUGACCGAGCAACGCCGCGUGAGUGAAGAAGGUUUUCGGAUCGUAAAGCUCUGUUGUAAGAGAAGAACGAGUGUGAGAGUGGAAAGUUCACACUGUGACGGUAUCUUACCAGAAAGGGACGGCUAACUACGUG